rnacentral:rRNA from 1 species
UUGCUCUGUGGAUCAGUGGCGAACGGGUGAGUAACACGUGAGCAAUCUGCCCCUGACUCUGGGAUAAGCGCUGGAAACGGCGUCUAAUACCGGAUACGAGCUGCGACCGCAUGGUCAGUAGCUGGAAAGAAUUUCGGUCAGGGAUGAGCUCGCGGCCUAUCAGCUUGUUGGUGAGGUAAUGGCUCACCAAGGCGUCGACGGGUAGCCGGCCUGAGAGGGUGACCGGCCACACUGGGACUGAGACACGGCCCAGACUCCUACGGGAGGCAGCAGUGGGGAAUAUUGCACAAUGGGCGAAAGCCUGAUGCAGCAACGCCGCGUGAGGGAUGACGGCCUUCGGGUUGUAAACCUCUUUUAGCAGGGAAGAAGCGAAAGUGACGGUACCUGCAGAAAAAGCGCCGGCUAACUACGUGCCAGCAGCCGCGGUAAUACGUAGGGCGCAAGCGUUAUCCGGAAUUAUUGGGCGUAAAGAGCUCGUAGGCGGUCUGUCGCGUCUGCUGUGAAAACCCGAGGCUCAACCUCGGGCCUGCAGUGGGUACGGGCAGACUAGAGUGCGGUAGGGGAGAUUGGAAUUCCU